CAACUAUCACUGGUGUCUUUCUUCCGAGUAAGGGAGAGUGAAGAUCAAGGAGCUUCUAUGCAGUUUACUUAUAAGAACCAACUGGGGAAACAACAACAACGAAAGGAAAAAAGAAGCCACUGACACUGCUCCUACUCAAGAGGAACAAUGGACUGCAAGUGCUAUCAUUUUACAAAUACCAUGGAGAUCCACCAUGGAGACAUGGAGGAGGAGGAAAGUCACAUAAACUGAAGCAUCGUGCUCUAUGCUUUUCGUAUUAUUGUUUGGGCACUCAGUUGUGUCUGAUUCAUGGCUCCGUGGACUCUGUCUCCUGCC
ensembl:lncRNA